UUUUUGUUUGCGUGAAGGAUUGAAGCGGCAUCCUUUUUUGGGAAAAACGCACUUUGUUAACACCAGCAAAAGGCCACCAACCCAAAAAAGAUACAGCGGAAAGCCUGACCCCUA
rnacentral:sRNA from 1 species